rnacentral:sRNA from 1 species
GGUUGUACUUGCUAAGUAAAAAAAAACGUGUUAUACUGGUCUUAAGUUUUUGUGAGGUAACAGAUAAGAAUUGUUUCAUAACAUUCCAAUUCGUACCGUUAGCAAGAAUUAACAAAUGUGCAAAACGCACGAGGAGGAUAUUUUAUUAUGGAACAAGGUACAGUAAAAUGGUUUAACGCAGAAAAAGGUUUUGGUUUUAUCGAACGUGAAGACGGAGACGACGUAUUCGUACACUUCUCAGCUAUCCAAGGAGAAGGAUUCAAAUCUCUAGAAGAAGGACAAGCAGUAACUUUCGACGUUGAAGAAGGAAACCGUGGACCUCAAGCAGCAAACGUAAACAAAGCUUAAUUAAAUUUAAACUUUGCAAAAGACUUGGCAUUUAUUGCCAGGUUUUUUUUU